rnacentral:rRNA from 1 species
GAUGAACGCUAGCGAUAGGCUUAACACAUGCAAGUCGAGGGGCAGCAUGGUCUUAGCUUGCUAAGACUGAUGGCGGCCGGCGCACGGGUGCGUAACGCGUAUGCAACUUGCCUCACAGAGGGGGAUAACCCGUCGAAAGACGGACUAAUACCGCGUACACUUGGGAUAGGGCAUCCUGACCCAAGGAAAUGAAAUUCGCUGUGAGAUAGGCAUGCGUCCCAUUAGCUAGUUGGUGAGGUAACGGCUCACCAAGGCGACGAUGGGUAGGGGAACUGAGAGGUUGAACCCCCACACUGGUACUGAGACACGGACCAGACUCCUACGGGAGGCAGCAGUGAGGAAUAUUGGUCAAUGGGCGAGAGCCUGAACCAGCCAAGUCGCGUGAAGGAUGACUGUCUUAUGGAUUGUAAACUUCUUUUAUACGGGAAUAACAAGAGUCACGUGUGGCUCCCUGCAUGUACCGUAUGAAUAAGCAUCGGCUAACUCCGUG